UAGGGAAUCUUCGGCAAUGGACGGAAGUCUGACCGAGCAACGCCGCGUGAGUGAAGAAGGUUUUCGGAUCGUAAAGCUCUGUUGUAAGAGAAGAACGAGUGUGAGAGUGGAAAGUUCACACUGUGACGGUAUCUUACCAGAAAGGGACGGCUAACUACGUGCCAGCAGCCGCGGUAAUACGUAGGUCCCGAGCGUUGUCCGGAUUUAUUGGGCGUAAAGCGAGCGCAGGCGGUUAGAUAAGUCUGAAGUUAAAGGCUGUGGCUUAACCAUAGUAGGCUUUGGAAACUGUUUAACUUGAGUGCAAGAGGGGAGAGUGGAAUUCCAUGUGUAGCGGUGAAAUGCGUAGAUAUAUGGAGGAACACCGGUGGCGAAAGCGGCUCUCCGGCUUGUAACUGACGCUGAGGCUCGAAAGCGUGGGGAGCAAACAGGAUUAGAUACCCUGGUAGUCCACGCCGUAAACGAUGAGUGCUAGGUGUUAGACCCUUUCCGGGGUUUAGUGCCGUAGCUAACGCAUUAAGCACUCCGCCUGGGGAGUACGACCGCAAGGUUG
rnacentral:rRNA from 1 species